GUUUUACUUAAUAUUUUCGGUCGAUUAUAAAUAAUAUGUAAAAUAUAUCUGCGGCGAAUUUAUAAAAAUCAGAAAGAAUGCUUGAUUUUAUAUGUUUAUAUUUUUGUAGUUACAAUUCUAAACUGACGCCAAUACAUUUAAAUAUUUUGUACGUGGGUUAAUUAUGUGUAUUGAAUUUGAGCUUGAGCCAACUUAAGCAGUUAUCCCAGAAAUACAGAUAUAUUGUGUCUGUAAAUGUGUUUCAAUGAUAUGCUUGUUAUCUAAGGUUGAAAAUAUAAUAAAACAAAUAUUGUACAUUCAUAUAUGUCAUAUAGAAAUGUUUUAUUUUAUAAAAAGAAAAUUUUGUUUAAUGUUUUCUCAAAAAUGUCGUUCUUUAUACUGCAUUUUGUUAAGCCGCAACGUUGAAAAUUGGACGUGUAAAAGAUAUUUUUGUAGUAGUUUUGUCGGUUUUCUAGUGGCUACCGUGUUAUGGUUCCUACUUCUGCUUAAUUUUCAAUUUUCUUUAGAAAUGAAGAUUAUGACGUUGGGGAUAAUCGUUACUUUGGUUGGUAAGGAACUUAGCAAAAGCUCAAAAGUUAUGGCUUUCUAUUCGAUAUAUGACAUUAUCCUAACGGCAGGAACCGGAUUUUUGUUUACAUCGAGUUUAAAGUGUAUUACUUUAUUAAUAUUUAUGGGAAUGGCAGGAAAAUCUGGACGGAGUUAUUUGCGAGCUUUGAGUUUCGCCUACAUAAUCACAGGUCCUAUUGCAAAUUUGGCUGCAAAUGGUGGAGAAGUUGUUCGAGUGUUUGCAUGUGCCACAACGCUUACAUAUAAUUUGACCAAGACCCGAUUAGAUAUUAUGAUAAAACCGUUCCAAAAAACAUUAAAUUCGAUGGAAAAUGAUUUAAUUGAUGUAGAAAAGUCAUUUGAAAAGAUGAAUGAAAUCCUUCUACCAAUUCGCGUUGAAGUUGGUGGAGCCGAUUACGAUUCAUAUGAUAAUUUAACUCUUCGUAAAGCGGAAAAUAUGGGACACCAUGUGCAAAAGACAUACACAAAAAAAUUUGAAACUCGUUGUAAAAGGCAGAUAGUGAAAGGGGAGAAACGCUGCCGUGAAGCAUUUGCCAAAGCUCAUACAGAAUGUGAGAAUAAGUUUCCCCGUAUAGUUCGAACUUUCUUGUGUUGGCCUUUUCAAGUGGAUUUUAUAUGUCACAUGAAUUUAUUGGGAAAACCAGACAUGAUUUGUAAACCAAAUGAAGUGCUGCCUUCCAAUUUUGGAGACAACUAUGUUCAAUUGAAUGAUGCUCAAAAUACACUAUUUAGAAAUACCUCAGAAGUGGAGUUAAAAUAUAAAGUAAAAUCAGUAAUUACACAUGCUGACAUGAGGGCACUCGAUCACAUAUCUGAUAUAGUUGUAGACGAAUUUAAUGCCAAGAAGAAAACAUUUGAUGUAAUAAUGCACAUCACAAAUACCAUUUUAUCACUACUUGUCUUUAAGGUUGCAGUUGCCGCUGUAGUAUAUCACAAAAAGUACUUAAGCAACAUUGAUUUUGAUAAUAUAUAUGUAACGGAUUACUUUCGCCAAGUUGAUGACCGGCGAAAACGAAAUAAAAAACCAACAAUAUUACCAUUAACCAAGUUCGAAAAAAACGAUGUGGUGGAUUUGGAGCGUACAUGUUACCGAACUGAAAACGAAUCGAAGAUAAUAUUUUUUUAUUUUCUUCAAUUCUCAUUGGAAAUUUUAACCGCAUGCUUCUUUUUAAUUCUUGACCACGUGAUUAUUACGUUGCUCAAUAUAAUACGAUUCAAUUCCUUCAUUACAUAUACACAAGAAGGAGAGCACAUUAUAAAUUUUCAGCUGAAAGGAAAGUAGCUAUUGAAAAAUUGGACAUUGUCAUAGAUGAAAUUCAGUCUUUAAGAGGUAUGAGUAUGUUUUAAUGAUAUUUUAUUGAUUUAUUAAAAUAAGUAUACAAAAAUGUAUUAUUUUAUGUGACGCAGGCUAAAAUCGGGGUUCUUGUAAAACAAAAAAAAAAAUAGAUUUAGAAAAAAAUGUUUAACUAUAUGUUAAGAACAGCAAGAAAAACUUUAAAAAAUAAAAAUUUGGUUUAAUUUUGAAAUUAUUAUUAUUAUUAUUUUAUAAUUAUAAUUACUGAUUUCUCGUAAUUACCCUUUUUACCGAUCCUUACAUGGGGUCUUAUUUUGUGUUUAGGCAACAGGUAGUCAUUAGAUUUAUAACGACCAGACGACGUAACUGUAACUGAUACCAAUAGUCGUAACGACAAAGGCCACUUAAUGAACAAUUUCAUUUAAACCAGGGAUGGGCACAUUUUUUCCCGUAAAGUUAGCAAAGUGCGGACGGGGCUAGAUGAGGGGAAUAUCAGUGUACGGAGGGAAGUUUCGAAAAAAAAUCAAUUACAUUCCACCGCCACUUAAUGUUCAUCGCAGAAUGCAGAGAUAAAGAGAUUCCCAACUCUCCUGUCACUGGAAAUGUGAGAGCCGCUCACCUACCGAACUUUGACAGUUGACUGGAUUGGGUAGGUGUUGACGUUUUGCAAUUGGAAUGACUGGAAAGGCCAGAUUGAAAUUAUACAAAAAAUAUAUGUGAACGGAGGAAUUUGUUGCCGCCGUUCAAGAUCGCUAAUAAAAAUUUAAAAUAAUGAAAAGCAAAGAAAAUGCGAAAAUUAAAUAUAUUUCAUGAAACGUUUUGUAAUUUGAUGCAUAAUAGAAUUAAUUUUCUGUUACAAUUGAUUAGAAACAUUUAUUAAUUGAGAACUAACAGGCUUAAUUCACUUUAUUAAGAAUUGAAAGAUCGAAAGUCAGUUGUUUUAAAAUACCAUAACAUCAUAAAAAAGGAAUUAAGUAGUUUCGCCAUAUAUUAAAAGUCCAAUAUAUAAUAAUUUGAAAUGGUAAUUAAUGUUGGGUAUUUUAAUUUAAAAUGCCCAAAAAUUCUUAUUUUGUUCGAUCUGGCCAUAAUGGAAAAUGUUAUAAAAAACGCUUAUUUUGAGGCGCUCUCACACUGGAAUAAGUUGGGCAUCCCAUUAUCCCUUGCAGAAUGGUUGCGGCAAUACUGACAUUGUACACAAAUUUAAGAGUGGAAGUUUACUUCAUAUCGGAAUUGUACAGUUGUAUGAACAAAAAGAGAUAAACAUAAUUUGCACGUUUUAGAGAUUCGCAUUAAUAUCUGUUUUAAUUUACCUUUGGAUGCUGGAAAUUCUAAUCACUGUUAGGAAAAAAUAUAUAUAUGUUAUACUUGUAUCUAAAAACAAUUUUAUUUAAUAAGAAAACAGCAUAUUUUAAAACUUCACAAUACCUUAUGGUUGUUCCCAUUUUGUUCACACCACUGUACAUGUGAUAGAUUAGUCAAUGGUGGUGAUGCCAGUUGUAAAAAUUCAUUUUAGUAACAAUUGGGAAAACUUUUAUCAAGUUGUGGGCUUUUAUACGUACAUAUGCAUAUCUGCAUAUAUGUAUAAAAAAAGAUACUUAUGACCAUUAUAUAUAUUGUGUUUAAACAUAUUGCAGUUCCAUUUAAUGAAAAUGCUUAUAUUAUAUAAAUAUAUGAUUUGUGAUGUUUUCAGUUUGGUUGUUUUAUCAAAAUAUUCAAAGAAUUGAGGUUUUUUUCUAUAAUUGUUAAAUUUUAAAAAUCUAGGUUGCCUCUGGAAAUGUAUUAGAAUAAUAAUAUGCGCUAUAGAAAGGGAACACAUAUUUUCAAAAAUAUAAGAAAUCAUCAAAUAAAAAUAUAUUUGUGCGCUAUGGCAUUAUUGAUUGAGAGUGGCUAAGCACACAAAUAGAAUACAAACGCUAAUGGCAGAAACAUCUUCUCACUUCGCUACGAGCUGCAAGCGUUUUGUUCUCGUUUUCAUUCGAACAAUUUUGCCAUUACUCAAUACGCAUAUGUAGUUUUGUACACAUUUAAGUUUUCAAUUAUAAUUUUUCAUAAUAUAAAAUAUCAAAACUGAAAUCAAACUAUUAAAAUUAGUUUAUAUAUUUGUAAAUAAUAGCCUUCGAUUCUGAAUUUGAGUUAUUUUAAGAAAAUUUCAAAUAUAUUGAAGACAAUUUUUAUAAUUACUACAGUAUAUCAAGCCUGGCAACCCUGCGGUGUGAGAGAGCAAUCAGUUGAGUCGUUUCUACGGGGAAAACCCCAAGUCGUUGGAAAUUCUACGAUUGGCGGGUGGGUUGUUAGGUAGUUAUUUACAUUGCGCUCUCAUAAGAUUCAUUUGGUCAUAUGUGUUUGAAGAAACAGUGGUUCAUAAACUGAAGUUAUUAUUGAAAUUACUUUUUAUAAGGAAGUUUAAAGAAAUAACCUGGUUUGAAACUUUUCGCUUCGAAAAUUAUAUCUUAAAUAAGAAGUAGGUUAUCUGAUUUAAAUUUUGGUACAGCAAUGCGUGUAGAAAAUGCGAUUAAACCAAACAUAUAAUUUAUUAUUUCAAAUAAACAAAAUUAAAUGCGGAUAUAACGACAUAUUAAAAAAAAAGAUUACUAAAAUAAAUUAUUUAUUAUACCUUUUGUUAUUUGUCUUACAUUUUAUAAAUUUAUAGUAGUUACAAACAAAUUUAAAAUUGUUAGGCAGUUUUACAGUUAUUACCCACAGUGCAACUUCCGACAUACAUAUGCGCGCGCUCUCAUUUGUAAACAUGGUGUGGUAAAAAAACGUUGCACUCACUUCCCUCUUCAUGUUUGCCCUCGAUGAUCCCCUCACCUAGCCCUCAAAAUGUGCAAUCUUGCCACUGAGGGCUAAUAUGCCCACCCCUGAUUGAACGAAACCCAUUUAUGCUGAAAGCAUGCACAAAUUUUUUUAAAUGAAAGGCUAUGCAUUUACUAUGCAGCCGUGUCCUCGAAGAUUUUGUGCACAACACUUUCCAAUGUUCCCAUAGCCGCAAACGACUAUUUCCAGCAAACAAAAUAUCUGUUGCUCGUUUUAUACCAAAAGUUAGAAGAUUAAUUCAUUUUAUACUGAACAUAUGUAUUUGUACCCUCACCAACUUGCGUAAAAUAAAUAUUAAUAAGACACAUACACUUUCAAUCACUGUUUACGGAAUAUGUGUGUAUUGCAUAGGGAGCAUAGCGAUUCCUUAACUUUAUUUUUGUGUUGUUCAAUAAAUUUGAAAAUUAGGAAGCUAUUAAGCAAUAUCGUAUGAUAGGUAUCGAUUUUUCGACUUUUUGGACAAUUUUCUUAUGUGUAUUUUUUAAGUGUGAAUACACAAAUUGGACAAGUGAUAGCGCGAGUUAACAUAUCUAUCAACCAAAGUACAAUUAAUACAAAGUACAAACUAUACUGAUAAGCGAAUAAUAAACAGAAACUACCGCAUUCCAAAGUCCUCAUCAAUACACACGACACCAAAACACUUCAGCAAAUCACAGAUCGAUAACACAUUACAAGAAAUGCUAUAUAAAGAAACACAACACAAUAAUAUAGGUUUUUUGUUCAUUGUACAUUGUCAUAGCUAUAAGUACAUAUUUAAUAAAUAAAGAAACAGUUCUUCAUUGGACUUAAAAUUUAUAUUCUUUGAUUGAAGAAAAUAGCUGGCGCCCGAGCAGGGACCGCAUAACAAGGAUUCCGGAUAUAAAAUCCUUCAAUAAGUCGGUCGUAAAGUCUACAAGGGACAUAGUCUCAUAAAAAAAAAAAAAAAAACCUUCAUAGAAGGAUACAUAAAUAAAGAACAAAAGUGAAAAAUUUAUAAUAAAGUGAAUUUUUUUUUUUUUUUAAUUAUAAAAAUGGUAACCUCAGCAGAAGUAGCAGCUAUGCAAGUAGUAAUAGCAGAUGUACAACGAAGGAUGUGUGUACAAGAAAAUGAUCAUCUGAGCCUCCCACCUCCAUCAACGGAUUACAAAUGUUCAUUUACAAGUCCAGAAGAAAUUGAUUUAAAUAUGUUUAAAAUCCUCACCACAUUCAACGGAGACCAAAAUGAUUAUAGAGCUUGGAGAAAAAUGGCUAUGAGAUUAAUGGAUAGUAUCAAGAACUUCGAAGGACAUAAUAAAUAUAUCCAAGCACUCAUGAUGAUACAGUCAAAAAUUAUUGGAACAGCCGCACAAGUACUGAUAAAUAACAAUACCAAACUAAAUUUCGAUGACAUCAUCGAUCGAUUGGACGAUUCAUAUGCGUACUGGAAGAAGAAAUGAUGAGAAUAAAGCAAAAUAACUUAUCACUCACUAUGUACUAUGAUCAAAUCAACCAAGAAUUAAAUUUGAUCCUGUCUAAAAUUGAAAUGUCUCAUAAAUAUGAGGAAGUGGCACGAGCUAUGUAUAACCACAGAAGUGCAAUUUAAAGCAGUUCGCACAUUUAUAGCAGGACUCAGAAGCAUAGCAACAAAGAAUGCUCUAUACUCCAGAGGAUGUAAGAACAUAGUAGAAGCAUACGUUAUAGCACGUACUAUGCAACACGAUGCGCAGUACCUGUUCCUAGAGUACUCACCAAGGAUUCAUCAACCUACAAAAAAUCCAUAUGUUCAACAAGAGCCGUUCAACCAGCCCAGGAAAGUACAAGCAAUCGAGCCGAUGGAUGUAGACUCGUCUUUCCAAUACAGACGACCUACACAACACCAACAAGCAACAACAAAUAACGGCCAGCAAGCUCAACAACUCCAACAGCAAGGACAAUGCUUCAAUCCUUUCCGAAAUCCCAUAAACAAUUUCAGGAAAAGAGAUGGAGAAAAUUCAUUUAACCAGCAACGAUUGAAAGACAGGAAACUCAACCAAAUCACCAGAGACGAGCACGAUAAUGAUUCGCUCUACAAUGAACAGUCAACUAGUGAAUACAGCCGUCAGAAACAUUUUUUAUAAGAAGGAAUGGCUUGCGCACACUCCAAAGGACAUCAUCGGAUGGCAAUCCAUAUAUUUAUUAAUAGACACAGGAUCUGAAGAAAAUUAUGGUAUUAUGGAUGCUGAAAGGCCAGUUACACCAACGCCAACUAUACGUUCGGCUAUCACUGUGCCGCGCACUGGGGCUGUCCCCGUAGCAGCGCCCCGUACAACUACUGUCACCACUGCGCCAACCGUUGCACGAAC